UUUUUUUUUUUCUUUUUUUUCCUUUUUUUAGCUCAGUUCAAAUUCUGUAGGUAUGAGCAAAAAGGUCAAUCCAUGGAAAGUCUAGCCUGAACUAUCAAACCGGUACUCCAAUACAAGCUCUUAGGGAUGACUGAGGCAUUAGCUGCUGCAGCUUCAGCAACAGCAGUUGAGGCAUACAAAGAUGUGAGAAACAUAAUUGGGUCCAUUGAUGGAGCAAUAGACUAUGCAAAAAAUUUAGAAAAGAAUUAUGAAAGGUUGAAAGAGGAUGCAAAGAAGCUGUAUGCAAGGAGGGAUGAUUUGUUGGCUAAAAUAAACACAGAUAAGAGAAAACAAGCCACCAAAGAAUGUGAAGUGUGGAUUUGCAAGGUGAACAAAAUUGAAAAAGAGGUGCUAAACCUGGAAGCCGAAUAUGAGGAGCAAAAGAAGCAUCAUCGCUUUUGGCAGUAUCCAAAUCUUAGCAAAUGCAUGGCAGAGAAGCUUGAUGAUUUGUGCCGUUGCUGGGCAGAAGGAAGCUCUUUUGCAACAGGUGUGGUAGUUGAGAGGUCACCUGAGCCUAUCAUUAAAGUAAAAGCCCCAAGAAUAGAGGACAAGUCAUCACUCUUGAGGACUGUUGAAAAGAUACUGGAACUCCUAAGGGAUGAUGAUGUAAAAAGAAUUGGGGUAUGGGGGAUGGUUGGAGUUGGGAAAUCAGCAAUUCUGCAAAAUCUGAACAAUAAUGAACAAAUUGCUAAAAUGUUUGACAUAGUAAUUUUUGUGGCUUUAACAGAUGAAGGCAAUGAAGAAGAGUUACAGCAUGCAAAAAUAAAGCUAAAAUGUGCAAAACAAAAGUUGCAAUGUGAAAUUGCACAAAGGCUGAAGUUGAAUGUGGAAGGCCUUACUGACACUAAGAGAAUUGCCUCAAGAAUUUUUGAGGAGCUGGAGUGUAAGAGGUAUUUGCUUCUUUUGGAUGGUGUAUGGGAAUCUUUUAAUUUAGAUGACAUAGGCAUCUAUGAAAAUGAGAAUGAUAGCAAGGUGGUUCUAGCAUCUAGAUACCGUGAUGUUUGUAUGGGUAUGUGUGCUGAUGAUAUAGUCAGGGUUGAAUCACUCUCAGAAGUUGAUGCUCGGAAACUCUUUCUAGAAAAACUAGGCCGACAUAUAAAUCUCUCAGAUUUUGAUCCAGUAAUCCCGCUUGUCAUUAGGGAAUGUGCCAAUUUGCCACUUGUGAUAGACAUAGUAGCAAAAACCUUCAGAAAGAAAGAUAGAAUUUCUCUAUGGUGGGCUGGAUUGAAGAGAUUGCAGAAGUGGCCUAAUAUUAAUGAUCAAGCCAUGGAUGAAGUACUUGAUCGAUUGAGAUUUUGCUAUGAAGAAUUAGGCAAGGAAGAUAAAAAGGUUUGCUUUCUCUAUGUUGCAUUAUUUACUGAAGGUUGCAAUGUCUAUAUGGAUUAUUUGCUGGAAUGCUGGAGAGCUGAAGGUUUCAUUCGUGAUGCGGAUGAGUUCACUGCACGCGACAGAGGAAUAGAAAUAUUGAAUGAUCUCAUCAAUGUAUCUUUGCUAGAGAGCUCUGAGAUGAAACACAUAAAGAUGAAUAAAGUUCUUCGUAAUAUGGCCCUUAAGAUCUCAUCAGAGAAAGAGGAUUCCAAAUGUUUGGUGAAAACCCAUGAAGAGAUACAACAGCCCCUAGAGGAGGAAGAAUGGAAACAGGCGAAGCGAAUCUCUUUGAUGGAUAACAAAUUGCGUAGUUUGCCAGAAAGACCAGCUUGCAGUAACCUCUCAACACUGUUGCUACAGAGAAAUGGUGAUUUGACAAUGAUCCCUGAGCAAUUCUUUGGAUCUAUGCAAAAUCUUCGAGUUCUAGACUUGCAUGGAACCAAGAUUACAACAUUACCAUUGUCUCUAUCUUGCUUGCAAAGCCUCAGAGCACUCUAUUUAAAUUGUUGCAAUCAAUUAAUAAAGCUCCCAUCAAGAAUAGACACUUUGCAGCAUCUUGAGGUGCUUGAUAUUCGAGGCACUAAGAUUAAUUAUUUACCCAUUGAAGUUGGAUGUUUGAGACAGCUGAGGUGUUUACGUAUGUCAUUCUCAAAUAUUGAUGGAAGAUCAAGGAGGAUGGAAAUUUACCGAAACAUCAUUUCAAAACUUUCUUUGUUGGAAGAAUUGGUCAUUGAUGUUAGGGUGGGUAAUCAAUGGUGGAAUGAGGUUGCAAGAGAAAUGAGUGAGGAGGUAGCUACCUUGACAAAAUUGACCUCUCUUUCAUUUUGUUUUCCUGGAGUGGAUAUUCUUAAGAUCUUUAUCAUGAAAAGCUCAAUGUGGAAGCACUUUUGCUUUGCAUUCCAAUUUUCCAUUGGUCAAUAUCAUUCACAUCCAUACAGAAUUGUUGAUUAUUUUGAAUAUGAAGUCUGCAAGUGCUUGAAAUAUGCAAAUGGUGAAGGCAUAGAUGCUGCAAUAAAAGAAGUACUUGCUACAGCCAAUGCACUUGAGCUACUUGGAAAUAAAGGAGUUCUCAAACUAUCUGAUUAUGGCGUUGACAAUCUCAACAAGUUGAGGAGUUGUUUGAUUGAAAGUUGCAAUGAAAUGGAAACCAUUAUUGACGGCAAUGGGAUAACGAAUGUUGUAUUGCAAUCCUUGGAAAAGAUGUACAUAAGCAAUCUCCCCAUGUUGAAAAGCAUCUGGGAGGGUUCAAUACCUACUGGAAGCCUAGCUCAACUUACCACUUUAAUCUUCUACAAAUGCCCAAAGUUGAAAAAGAUCUUCUCCAAAGGGUUAAUUCAACAACUCUGUAAGCUGCAACAUUUGGAAGUUGAAGAUUGUGAAGAAAUUGAAGAGAUUAUUAUAGAAACAGAGAACAAUGGAUUGGAAUCUCGUGCACUUCCAAGUCUGAAGAAACUAAUACUUCUUAAUCUACCAAGAUUAAGGAGCGUAUGGAUUGAUGACUCACUAGAGUGGCCUUCUUUAGAAAGGACUGUGAUUGCCAUGUGCCCUCUGUUGGAGAGGUAUCCUUAAUGCAACAUUUAGAUCAUCUAAUUGCAUCUUUGUAUGAAACAUAUUUUCAUUCUUGAUUAAAAUGGCCAGUUAAUAUCAAUACCAGCCAUGAAUUAGUAGGACUGGAAGUCCUGAUCUAGUUUUGUUGUAUGACAACAAACCCAACUCUGAAAUGUCUUUUGUCGUUUGUGUUUGUGUGGGCUUUUUCGGACUGCUGAACAAUUUGAUAAGAAAUAUUGGUUGGUUACUGGUGAGAUUUUUAUGUUUUGUCAUUUGUUUUUGUGUGGG
rnacentral:misc_RNA from 1 species